rnacentral:rRNA from 1 species
AGAGUUUGAUCCUGGCUCAGAACUAACGCUGGCGGCGUGCCUAACACAUGCAAGUCGAGCGGUUGCCAUUUUGUAGCAAUACAGAAGAAGCGAUAGCGGCAGACGGGUGAGUAACGCGUUACCAAUCUAUCUUACCGACCGGGAUAACUAGCCGAAAGGUUAGCUAAUACCAGAUACGAUCAUCGGGCGGCAUCGUUUGA